UUUGCGUGACACGCCUAUUCCUCCGCGUGUUUGUCCCAUGAGCGGCGGCGGCGACGGUGGCAGUCAUUCUCAGCACUGCUGCUUCUGGAAGAAAGAAAAAAAGAGAGAGGAUAGAAGAGAAAGGAGGAAAAUGGAGGCUGUGAGUGGAGGAGAGCGGAGCCCCGUUAAGUGCUCUGCUUGAAAGCAUGUCAGGCCUCAUUAGCUGUCAGUUGUAACAAUACUGAACUGGCAGUGAAGAAGGGCUGGAGACUCGCGACCAUAAAUCACUGGCUGACAGCGCUCUGACAGGCUGGGAACGGUGCACAUGCAAGAGAUGCCACGGCCACUCUCACUUGGGCGCAUCUGAUUGGUUCCCUCAGUGGUACAACCUGCUCCCACCUGAUGGAUCUUGCUGAGUGAUGUCAUCAAGCUGAAGACACUCCUCCUUUUGAUAUUGGAACCUGUUUUCAAGGGGAGCCUUGAUGUCGAGUGAAAAGCAUCAUGGACGCCAAAUCCAGGAGAACAUCCUGCAAGUGGUGAGGUUGUCACAGGGGUCCGUAUUGCCUGUGAUUAUUUUAACAAUCUCCUACCAGGGUACCGCUGGGAUCCUACAAUGGAAACUGUCCCAGGUUAAUAUCAUCGUGGGUAAACAAUCUCUUACAGAUGUUGCCUUGCUCCCAGAAGCUAUCUACGUACGUCUGGCCAAACUGCUAAUGCAGAGGCGGCCUGGAACCGUCCUCCAUAACUGCUUAUCCGGUCUUGAGUACCUAACGUCAUGUUCUACAGCUGAGAAACUCUACAAGCAGUUAUUUCUCUACUUUCUUGUGCAGAUUUUCCUAGAUGUUUUUCACGCCGAGGUGAAACAAUUCCCAAAUCAAUUCCCGACGGGCAGUCAGUUAAUUACAACCAAUUUAGUUCCACUCUUUGCACACCUGUCUGGUUUGGACUCCCUUUAACGUACAUCUGGCUGUUUUUUUGGGAGGCCAAAGGGCAGGAGGAAACAUCGUGAUCAUGCACUCAUAGGUUUCCAAUCAAAGUCCCAGGAGUAUUCGUCAAUGAGGUAAUUAUCUUGAAUUACUCCUGGAAAAACCUCCAGCUGUAACGAAAUCAUUCAAAAAAUGAUGAAUACAGUACAGUUGUGUUUGCUUUGGAUGGAAGUUUUAGCUAAGCAGCUAAAUAUAAAAAUAUACAGCAUGCAAUUGUCGCCGUGGCGAUUUGUGAUCCCGACCUCACACACCUGUGAUUGGAACCCAGGGGUGUAACCCAGCCUUGCCGGUUCUCCAGGGCUGAGAAGCACGCCUGCUUUUGCUCUUUAAUUGCUCUACAGAAGUCACCUCACCUGGUGUUUCAGGUGUUAAUCAGCUGCUAAUUAAAAUGUAUUCUCUUACAUUUGGCCCCCGAGGAACCUAAUUGUACACCAGCCCCCCCCCCUUCCUAUUUGCCUCUAUUUUUUCUGUUAUUAUAUCGGGCUUGACUCACCUCUGUCUCAUUUAUAAGCUUUAUAUACUGAAUGAGACGUGCUUUCAGCAGAGACAGGCACUUAACCUGUGAUCUGUGUUCUCUCUCUGCGGACGCUGGGGGGGCUUUUAACCCAGCUGGCACCUUUUAUUUUAUUAUUGAAAAACGAGGUCGGGGGUGUCGGUUCGACUGCCCCCGUUUUUAUUAAUAUUGUCCCGUCGCUUGUAGGACUAAUGAUGCAUUCUUAUGAAUUUAUUCAUAAAAUGAUUUUUCUGCUGUCCCGUCUGUCCUGGGUGUGGUUCAGCCAAUGGGGUACCGGUCUGUGAUCUUUACCCAGAGGGCUCAGACGCUUUACCUGUGAUCAGAAAGGUUGUGGGUUCGAACUCCAGGCUCGACAGAAUGAUA